rnacentral:rRNA from 1 species
UACGAAGGGUGCAAGCGUUACUCGGAAUUACUGGGCGUAAAGCGUGCGUAGGUGGUUUUUUAAGUCCGUUGUGAAAGCCCUGGGCUCAACCUGGGAAUGGCAGUGGAUACUGGAAAGCUAGAGUGCGGUAGAGGGUAGUGGAAUUCCCGGUGUAGCAGUGAAAUGCGUAGAGAUCGGGAGGAACACCAGUGGCGAAGGCGGUUCUCUGGGACGGUACUGACGCUGAGACGCGAAAGCGUGGGGAGCGAACAGG